rnacentral:rRNA from 1 species
UACGUAUGUCGCAAGCGUUAUCCGGAAUUAUUGGGCAUAAAGGGCAUCUAGGCGGCUUUGCAAGUCCGAGGUGAAAACUAUUGGCUCAACCAAUAGCUUGCCUUGGAAACUGCUUUGCUAGAGUAUUGGAGAGGUGGACGGAACUGCACGAGUAGAGGUGAAAUUCGUAGAUAUGUGCAGGAAUGCCGAUGAUGAAGAUAGUUCACUGGACGAUAACUGACGCUCAAGUGCGAAAGCUAGGGGAGCAAACAGG